GCUUCUGAGGCAGAACUGCAAAUUUCAGUUAUGUUCCUUUUUUAGUCUCUUACGUGGUUCCUCCUAAUAUAUGCUGCAGGAGAUGAAAUGACUUGAGUGUUCUGGAAAUCAAUAAAUGACAAGGUAAUUUGCUUCUUUUAAUUAAUCAAUGCUUUUUGCUAUUUUGUUCAAUUAGAAUUUAUCUCGUUCUUAUGUCUUGAAUUGAUAUACUGCAGCUCAUUUUUCCCUUUGUGGAGCUGGAUAUAAAAUACUUUGACCUUGGCCUUCCUCACCGUGAUGCAACUGAUGAUAAAGUUAUUAUUGAAAGUGCAGAGGCCACCCUCAAGUAUGUACUUGAAUUCUUUUAAUGAUUCUAUAAUUCUAUUUUCAAAAUACUUUAACUUGUGCGUUGAGUUUUAAUGUUUUGUACACUCGUGUCUCCGUGUGCUUGUGUCUUAUUGUGUGUGUCUAUUUUUUUUUUUUGAAAGUUGAGGUGUAUUUUAUCCUUUUAGGUUCAAUGUGGGAAUCAAGUGUGCAACCAUUACUCCAGGUAUACAUUGCUGGAUCUAACAGAAAGAUUUUUUUUUUUAGAUAAUACAUCAAUGAAUGCUUUACAGGGACUUUUGGUAUGUUAUCAUUACUAAACAAAAAUAAAAAAUAUGGUUAUUUAUUUAACAGAUGAAGCUCGUGUUGAGGAGUUUGGCCUGAAGCAGAUGUGGAAGAGUCCAAAUGGGACAAUUAGGAACAUUUUAAAUGGUCAGUGACUUGUUUCACUUUGUAAGUUUCAAAGUUAUUGCUUCACAUAAUAUGAUUGACUGUUGAUGGGUCAUUAUAAUUUACACUCGCUACAGGGACCGUAUUCAGGGAACCAAUUAUUUGCAAAAACAUCCCCAAUUAUUUGUAAAAACUUGUUAUAUAACUGGGCAUCCAUCUAUUCCUCGAGUCAAAAAGGUGGGAAAGGAAAGAUACAACUUGUUGUGUACAGUGAAGGAAAGUGAUUGAGAGAGCAUUUGUUUGUUAGUCUACAUUUUUAAACAAGUGGUUCUUAUGGAAAUAAAUUGUGAAUAGGGAUGUAUUAUUGGGAUGUAUUUUGAAUGUUAUUAUUGGGAUGUAUUUUGAAUGGUUGAUACAGUUUGACUUUGAAUUUAAAUGAGAAUUUAGACCUUUUAGCUAUAUUAUGGCAUUAGCAGAUUGCAGGUGCACUGGAAAUAUAGGUGAACCACAACUUCUUUUUCCCAAUUCAAUCUACAACCUUUUAAAAACGUUGUAUAAAUGUGCUUAAACGUUGUCUGAUAUAUUAAACUACAAUAUUUUAAGCUAGAAAAUAUUGUGGAAUCAUACCUUCUACAACGUUUUCAAGAAUCUACUAAUUUAUGAAAAAUAAAUCUACAACGUUUUUUUCUUAAAAAAACGUUAUAGAAUAUGUCUAACUACAACGUUUUAAAAACGUUGUAUAAGGGUGUCAAAUAUAUGACAUCCUUAACCACGACGUUUUUCUGACAGAAACCACAACGUUUUUUACGCGUUAUCUAUUUACUGUUUUGUAGUAGUGACUCAAGUUUGAGUUAGGGAAACAUGCCUCGUUCACUGAUUAUUACUACGCAAUUUAAUAUAACUUCUUAUUAAAGACCUAUCAUUAAUAAGAUUGAUCUCUCAAUUAGCAUCACAUAUCUUACUCAUAAUACUAUUAUUCUAUAAUAUUUUAUCUAACAUGUAAUCACAUAAUCAAACAUUUGAUACUACCAUAAAUCAUUGGUAAUAUUAUCAUCAUUUGAUAAUAUUCUAUCACAUAACAGUCAUCUUAAACUCCCAUCUAAUAUCAAAUAAUAUUUCAUCACUUCUUAUUAUUAAUCACUUAAUAGUAUUUUAUUCCCUUUCCAAUAUUAUUAUCCACCUAAUAAUAUUUUAUUUAUUCAGAAAUAUUAUUAAUCAUUUAAUAACAUAUUACUUACCUCAUAAUUUAUUAAUCAUUUAAUAAAAUCUUACUCACCUCAUAAUAUUAUUAAUCAUUUAAUAAUAUCUUAUUAACUUACUUAAUAUUAUUAAUCAUUUAAUAAUAUUUUAAUCCUUAACUAAUAUUAUUAAUUAUUUAAUAAUAUUUUAAAUUCUUAACUGAUAUUAUUAAUCAUUUAAUAAUAUUUUAAUCUAAUAUUAUUAAUUAUUUAAUAAUAUUUUAAAUCAUUAUCUAUGAUUAUUAAUCAUUUAAUAAUAAUAGUUUAAUAUAAUAUUAUUAAUCAUUUAAUAAUAUUUUAAAUCAUUUAUUAAUACUUUAAUCUAAUAUUAUUAAUAAUUUAAUAGUAUUUAAUAUUUUAAUCUAAAUAUUAUUAAUUACUUAAUAAUAUCUUAAUCUAAUAUUAUUAAUCAUUUAAUAAUAUUUUAAUCAUUUAUUAAACUAAUAAACAAUUUACUCUAAUUGUUUAUCCUUUACUAAUUCAUUUCUUUAAUAAUCAUAAAAUACCAUAAAUAUAAAAUCUUAUCAAAAAUGACCAAAAUACCCUACAGAAAUCUGGACACAUCAUAUUAUGGGCCUUUUGUCAAGAAAAUCACAUUUACACAAAUUUUAACAUCACAUAACUUAUUAUUCCCAUUUAUUCAUAACUCCAACAUUUAUAUGAAAAAUACCAAACCAACUCUGAAAGUUUUUCUUUUCUGGGAAUCGUUAGAAUACGGUUCCCUUAUGAACACAUUAAUUUUUUCUAGGAUUUUCCAAUUUCAUUUACUAUUUUUAAAUUGCCCAAAACAGUCAGAUCUUCCAACAAUUAUCAUAAAUCGACAUUUUGCCCAAUAAUUUUAAAAUAUUUAGGGUAUUUUCCUGUUAUAUACAUCUAAUUUUAGUAAAAACUUUAAAAUUUUUAGAGUUACACACAAAAAGUUAUUCAAGUUUACUUUUAAAAUAGUCAUUUCUUGUAAAAUCCAUAACUUUUAUUCUACACCUCCAAAAAUCACCAUCUUUGGACAUGAUCGUGAUAACUCAUCAUAUUAUCAUACCAAAAUUUUUCAAAAUUUUUAAAGCAAAGAAGAAGGACGAAAAUGCCCCUGCAAGUAACUGGCCAAGAACAUCCAUUUCCCCUUUUCUUCAGAAGUUGGACUGUUAUGACCAAAACAGCCACCAUGGCUUGAUAAAUUAACAUUUUUAGUGCUACCACUUGGGUUAAAAGAUAAAUUAUAUAUCUAGCACUCCUCUUUGACGGAUCACAAAAAGAAGGUGUAGAUCUUAAAUGGUAGGCAUUCAAAGUAAUAAAAAGUUAGGGUUUUCUAAGCUUGAAAAACAAAAUUUUAUUUUCUUUCUUUUGAUCAAACUUUUGACACCCACAAUGGUUAGAUCUAAACAUAAAAUACUCAUUAACAUGUAGAUCAAGAGUUUUAGAGUUUAUGAACAUAACUUGUUGAUUUCAUCAAAACAAAUUAAAUAUAAGGAAUAAACUAAUUUAUUGAUAGGUUUUUAUACCUUUGAUUUAUGUGGAUGAUCUUUUUCUUCCUUCCAAGAGUUAUGAAGCAUAAAAAAAAAAUCAAACUCUCAUCUCCUACUCCCCCUAAGUGGAUUCCGAAAUCCUCUUGGAUUCUCUCUUUAUUUUCUUUCUUUAGCUUGCUUUUUGGUGGAGAUGAAAGAGAAAUGAAGAAAAUUUUUAAUAACUAAUGAGAUGGGGGUUUUUAUAAAAGCUAGAAAAUAUGUAUACUUACAUAUUCUAUAUACACAUAUUUCUCCCAACUUCUCUCCUUUACUUAUCUCUUACAUCUAAC
rnacentral:lncRNA from 1 species